AGAGAGAGACAUGCGCGCAUAUCAAUAAGCGGAGGAAAAGAAACUAACAAGGAUUCCCUUAGUAACGGCGAGUGAAGCGGGAAGAGCUCAAAUUUGAAAUCUUCAAGGUUCUACCUUGACGAAUUGUAGUUUAAAGAAGUGUUUUCGGUCAGAGGAGUAGUAAAAGUUCUUUGGAAUAGGACAUCAUAGAGGGUGAGAAUCCCGUAUUUGACCAUUAUUUUCAGCUGUGUGAUACACUUUCAAAGAGUCGGAUUGUUUGGGAAUGCAGUCCAAAAUGGGUGGUAAUAUUUCAUCUAAAGCUAAAUAUUGGCGAGAGACCGAUAGCGAACAAGUACCGUGAGGGAAAGAUGAAAAGAACUUUGAAAAGAGAGUUAAACAGUACGUGAAAUUGUCAAAAGGGAAGCGUUUGACACCAGUGUUGUUUUCUCGAAAAUCAAUUAAAAAGCUGGAUUUAUGCUGUUAGUAUUGACUUUAUCAGGCUUGCUGCACUAGUUUCUGGGUCCUUUUUAAUGCACUUUUCGUUUAACAAGUCAACAUCAAUUUCUUUUGUUGUAAAAGAGUCAUUGGAAGGUGGCUUUCUUUUCGGAGAAAGUGUUUAUAGCCUUUGGACUUCUGCAAUCGGAGAGAUUGAGGUCUGCAGCGUAGAUCCUUCGGGGUUAGAUACAUUUGUGCUAAGCUAUAGCCUUUCAUAGACAACUUGUUGACUAUGAUCAGUCAUGUAGCUUACUCGCUUAUGUCUAUUUUACCUACGCUUAGGAUGUUGACAGCAGUAUAGACUGU
rnacentral:rRNA from 1 species